rnacentral:rRNA from 1 species
CAGCCGCCACGGGAAUACGUAGGGUGUAAGCGUUAUCCGGAAUUAUUGGGCGUAAAGAGCUCGUAGGCGGUUUGUCGCGUCUGCUGUGAAAACUGGAGGCUCAACCUCCAGCCUGCAGUGGGUACGGGCAGACUAGAGUGCGGUAGGGGAGAUUGGAAUUCCUGGUGUAGCGGUGGAAUGCGCAGAUAUCAGGAGGAACACCGAUGGCGAAGGCAGAUCUCUGGGCCGUAACUGACGCUGAGGAGCGAAAGCGUGGGGAGCGAACAGGAUUAGAUACCCCCGUAGUCCCUGUCUCUUAUAC